AGAGACAGCUGGGCCACUGGCAGUGAGGGAGAGUGAGGAUGGCAGAGACCAGUGCCCUGCCCACCGGCUUCGGGGAGCUCGAGGUGCUGGCUGUGGGGAUGGUGCUGCUGGUGGAAGCUCUCUCCGGUCUCAGCCUCAAUACCCUGACCAUCUUCUCUUUCUGCAAGACCCCGGAGCUGCGGACUCCCUGCCACCUGCUGGUGCUGAGCUUGGCUCUUGCGGACAGUGGGAUCAGCCUGAAUGCCCUCGUUGCAGCCACAUCCAGCCUUCUCCGGUACCAGCCCCCUCCCCAGUCCACAGGCUCUGGAGUCCUGCCUGGGGCCUGACCUCUGGGCCCUGGGCAGCCAGGCCAAGGGCAUUUUUACUACUUACAGAAAAUUGGCCAAGGGCAGAGGGUGGGCAGGCUAAAAUGGGCUGAAUUCCAGAUUGAUUCUGAAGAACGACAGCUGAUUUCUGGAAGACAGGGAUUGCUGAAACCUGA
rnacentral:sRNA from 1 species